rnacentral:rRNA from 1 species
GAGUUUGAUCAUGGCUCAGAUUGAACGCUGGCGGCAUGCCUUACACAUGCAAGUCGAACGGCAGCACGAGAGCUUGCUCCUGGUGGCGAGUGGCGAACGGGUGAGUAAUGCAUCGGAACGUAUCCUGGAGUGGGGGAUAACGUAGCGAAAGUUACGCUAAUACCGCAUAUUCUGUGAGCAGGAAAGCGGGGGACCUUCGGGCCUCGCGCUCUUGGAGCGGCCGAUGUCGGAUUAGCUAGUUGGUGAGGUAAAGGCUCACCAAGGCGACGAUCCGUAGCAGGUCUGAGAGGAUGAUCUGCCACACUGGAACUGAGACACGGUCCAGACUCCUACGGGAGGCAGCAGUGGGGAAUUUUGGACAAUGGGGGCAACCCUGAUCCAGCCAUGCCGCGUGAGUGAAGAAGGCCUCGG